CAGUGUGCCGGUUCACGGUGCACGAGCGCUGCGCCCGCCGCGCCCCCCACAACUGCAUCAGCACCUACGCCAAGAACCGCAGGGAGGCCGAGGUCCAGGCCCACGUGUGGGUGAGGGGCGGCUGUGAUGGUGCCAAGUGCAGGGAGUGCCAGAAGAAGAUCCGGAGCUUCCAGAGCCUGACGGGGCUGCACUGCGUGUGGUGCCACCGCAAGGUCCAUGAGGAGUGCCAGCCCCU